rnacentral:rRNA from 1 species
CGUAGGCCCCAAGCGUUAUCCGGAAUUAUUGGGCGUAAAGAGCGCGUAGGUGUUUUAUUAAGUCGGUCGUUAAAUCUCACUGCCCAACAGUGAGACCGCGAGCGAUACUAAUAAAAUUGAGUCUUGCAGGGGCUAGCAGAAUUUCUGGAGUAGGGGUGAAAUCCGUUGAUACCAGAAGGAAUACCAAUGGCGAAGGCAGCUAGCUGGGCAAUGACUGACAUUGAGAGCGCGAAAGCGUGGGGAGCAAACGGGAUUAGAUACCCCGGUAGUCCACGCUGUAAACUAUGUCAACUAGCGAUAGGGAGAGUCGACCCUCUCUGUUGCGAAGCUAACGCGUCAAGUUGACCGCCUGGGAAGUACGGUCGCAAGACUA